rnacentral:rRNA from 1 species
GACGAACGCUGGCGGCGUGCUUAACACAUGCAAGUCGAACGGUGAAGCGCCUUCCUUUUUGGUGGGUGUGGAUGAGUGGCGAACGGGUGAGUAACACGUGAGUAACCUGCCCCCUUCUUCUGGAUAACCGCAUGAAAGUGUGGCUAAUACGGGAUAUUCUGGGUCUGUCGCAUGAUGGGUCUGGGAAAGAUAUUGUUUCGGUGGGGGAUGGGCUCGCGGCCUAUCAGCUUGUUGGUGGGGUGAUGGCCUACCAAGGCGGUGACGGGUAGCCGGCCUGAGAGGGUGGCCGGUCACAGUGGGACUGAGACACGGCUCAGACUCCUACGCGACGCAGCAGUGGGGAAUAUUGCACAAUGGGCGAAAGCCUGAUGCAGCGACGCCGCGUGAGGGAUGGAGGCCUUCGGGUUGUGAACCUCUUUCGCCAGUGAAGCAGGCCUGCCUCGUUUGUGGGUGGGUUGACGGUAGCUGGAUAAGAAGCGCCGGCUAACUACGUG